CAUCACAGUCAGACGGGCACAAAACUUCAACCAGCCGUUUCUCUGCCUGGAAGCGGCGAACAUGUAACCUGGACGGGGAGGCUGGAUGGGGACACAUACCAUGAGUGACAUCUUACCAGAGGGUGGCCAUGAACUUCAUCAUGUUCCACAACUGUUAAUGACCACUGGCGCUGGCCCUGCUGCUCUCUGAACUCCUCUCUGUGGAACUGUGCCCCUUCUCUGGGAAGAGUCCUUGAAGCUCUACUGAGAAUGAAACCUCUUCUUUCAGCUCAUGUCAAUCUUGGUAUUUUCCCAACAUGUUCAGGUUCUGGCUUGGAGGUGCUAUCUGUUGUUGACUUUGGACAUAAACGAAGCUGUUAUUUGCCUCUUUUGGUUUGUUAUGUUAACAAGCUUUUGGGAUUUGUUCUUUAAGAUUCCCCACCCCUAUUGUAUGAUGAUAGGUGCUGGAACCAGACUGGUUGGGUUCAAAUUUUUGCUGUCGCUAACUUGCUUUGUGAACACAUGUCAGUUACUGAAUCUCCCCGUGCCUCAGUUUUUUAAAUAUGUAAACAGGGAGUUCUCGUAGUACCCGUGGGUCUUAGUCAGUUAUUGCUAUAGAACAAACCACCCCCAGACUUAGUAACAUCAACAACAA
rnacentral:lncRNA from 10 species